CGCGCCACCUCGGGGUGCGCCUUCGGUGCUGAGAUCACACCCGUAGAACCUGAACCGGCUAGAACCGGCGGAGGGAAGGUAUGGACUGGCUCC
rnacentral:ncRNA from 2 species